GAUGAACGCUGGCGGCGCGCCUAACACAUGCAAGUCGAACGGUUAAAGCACCUUUUAGGUGUGUAUAAAGUGGCGAACGGCUGAGUAACACGUGGGCAACCUGCCCUCCUCUUGGGGAUAGCCUCGGGAAACCGAGGAUAAUACCCGAUACUUCAAUGUGGCCGCAUGACGACAUUGGGAAAGCUUUUGCGGAGAAGGAUGGGCCCGCGGCCUGUUAGCUUGUUGGUGGGGUAGAGGCCUACCAAGGCAAUGAUGGGUAGCUGGGUUGAGAGACCGACCAGCCAGAUUGGGACUGAGACACGGCCCAGACUCCUACGGGAGGCAGCAGUGGGGAAUCUUGCACAAUGGGCGAAAGCCUGAUGCAGCGACGCCGCGUGCGGGACGAAGGCCUUCGGGUUGUAAACCGCUUUUCAGCAGGGACGAGGCGAAAGUGACGGUACCUGCAGAAGAAGCCCCG
rnacentral:rRNA from 2 species